rnacentral:rRNA from 1 species
AGUGAACGCUGGCGGUAGGCCUAACACAUGCAAGUCGAACGGCAGCACAGUAAGAGCUUGCUCUUACGGGUGGCGAGUGGCGGACGGGUGAGGAAUACAUCGGAAUCUACUUUUUCGUGGGGAUAACGUAGGGAAACUUACGCUAAUACCGCAUACGACCUACGGGUGAAAGCAGGGGAUCUUCGGACCUUGCGCGAUUGAAUGAGCCGAUGUCGGAUUAGCUAGUUGGCGGGGUAAAGGCCCACCAAGGCGACGAUCCGUAGCUGGUCUGAGAGGAUGAUCAGCCACACUGGAACUGAGACACGGUCCAGACUCCUACGGGAGGCAGCAGUGGGGAAUAUUGGACAAUGGGCGCAAGCCUGAUCCAGCCAUACCGCGUGGGUGAAGAAGGCCUUCGGGUUGUAAAGCCCUUUUGUUGGGAAAGAAAAGCAGCAGGUUAAUACCCCGCUGUUCUGGCGGUACCCAAAGAAUAAGCACCGGCUAACUUCGUG